ACCGUAUUUAUGGGGAAAAGCUCCAUGUAUAAGCGGACCUGUGCAGUGCAAACCUGUGUUGUUCAAGGGUCCCCUGUACUUGG
rnacentral:pre_miRNA from 14 species